AGGUUAAACAAAAAGAUUUAUAAAGAAGAAUGUGAUUUAGGCGUGAGUGUGAACAACACACGUACAAGAAGAUCAGAUCAAUAGAGAACAAAAGCAAGCACAAGUACACACUGAUUCUGAAUAUGGCAAAUGAAAUGUAGACUUUUAUAUCUAUGGUCUAUAAUUUGAAGCCCAAAAUUGAUAUAUGGGCUUUUAGCCUAGGACCGGCCUAUGAUUCGUUGAUUUCACAGAGUUACACGUAUGAGGGCUUUUUACAUGGAGCUAUUACUUCAAAUCCGUCGUAUGGCUUGGGCUAACCAUAUACUUCUUAGUUUUGGAUACGGGCACGGAUCUUCCUAAACCAACAUAUAGGUCGGUUAUGUAAUUAUUUAGAUCUUCAGGGGUAAAUCUGACAAUAUUGCAUGACCCGACCGGGUGUUUCUUAUAGAAACCCGUAUACCCGGGCAUUAGUUUUCUCGCUAUGGACGCUUGGAUCUCGUCUCUCAGGUUCGGGUCGGGUACGACCCAUGUCUUGUGCUUCUUGUAAGCCUCUUCGAACGCCUCGUUGAACCGUCUCAGAGACUCCUCCGCCUCCGUCCCCGCCGUUGAAUCACCGGGGAGCGACGCUAUCACAUCCCCCCAGGCCAUUUUUUCGUAUUUCUCGAGGUAUUGAUUCACUUUAACCUCGUGAUUCGCUACCCAAUCGUCUCCGAGUACGAGUCUGAGAUUCGAUGUACGGACCUUGGUCACAACGUAAUGGAGGUUGUUCGCUAGGAAGAGAUACGAUAGAGCCGAGUCGUUGUAGAGCCGAGAUUUGGCGUCGAUUUUACAGAGCAAGACGAGAAUCAACCACGCGAGUCUCGCCGCCAUCGGAGAACGAUCACCGGAUCCUGGAUUCUCUUCGCCGCUGCUACUGAAGUAAUCCUCCGGUAAAGGUAACGAUGACUCCUUGAGAAUGGUGGCGAGAGAAUCGCUGUAGUCUGCGAGGAAGACGAUGAAGUUCAUCACAUACCUCGUGAGCUGAUGAACUCCGCCGCCAGAAAUCGCCGAUUUCGACGAUUCCUUCGUAAUCGACGAUUGAAACUCCGUCAUCAUUGCAUUCACCGAUUCCGAUAGCUUCUCUAGAGAUUCAUUCGCCUGUAAUCUAACGGCAGCGGUUGAAUCGUAGCUAAAAAUCUGAUCGAUUUUGGGAGUCAGUUGCAAGAUCGUCUGGUAAACGUCAAGCGUAGGGAAGAUCUUCUCUGCAGUUUUUCUGGAUUUCGCUACGGUUAGUGAGAAGAUGAAGAGGUUUAACGCGCUCUGUAGCGUUAUGUCAACGAAGCAAGAUUCAGCGACGGAGGAGGAGAAAAUGUGAUCGGAAAGGAUUCGUUCUCCGUUGAACAGAGUGGUGAUUGCUACUCUCGCAACAAUCACCCAUAUUUUGAUCUUCUUCUCCAGAAUCUCCCAUUCCAGUUUCUGCAUCUGUGUAGAGAGGAGAUCAUGCAAUUUGCUAUCAUCUUCAAAUCAACAAUAGCAUCAGAAUUCCCUCCUCCUCCUAUGUCUUUACCUAAUUCCGAUGAGGAUUCAGAGUAAAGCUCUCCAUCUGAUGAAGAAUCCGAAGCGGUUCCACUUGAUCUCGAAGGUAUGUUGGAUUCAGAAGACCAACCAGAGACGGAUUCUGGACUCAGAAAGCGGCGAUUCGAUUUCAAAACCCGGUAAAACUCCUUCUCCAAAUGCUUCAUAGCUUUCCGCAUCAAAUCCUGUCCUUUAGCAAGCUUAGCGGAGUCCGGAUUCAUAGCAACGGUGCUCUGAAUGGCGUAUUGUAACUUGCCGAGAACCUCGAGGAAGCGUCUGCCUUCUAGGCGGUUUUGAGCGGAGAAGAGGGAAGAGAGGCUGCAUGAAGAAGAAGAAGAGUCGCAGAGGUGUGGAGUAACCCAUUGGCAUAUGAAGGCGUCAGCUGCCUCCACACUAUCGCCGAUUAGAGACUCGGAGAAGCCCUGUUGCUGUUGCGGCCCGACCUUAGAGGAUUUUGAUAAGGUGGUGGGUUUCAAGAGCACCAUUGUUUCUUGGGUUUGAAGAAAUGGGUCUUAAGGUGUUGGGGUAUUUAUUUACCAUCUUCGGUUUCUUGUUUCGGCGACUGUUUUUUUUUGUUGGAGCCGUUCCAAGUUCGUCAAAAUGUACACGCUGGUCAUCCGUUUAUGUCUCUCAUUUUGUUUUCUAAGUCUUUGAUUUUGGGACAACAAAUUGUUUGUGUUAAAUUUAGACUGAAAUUUACAGGUUGUAUGGAUAAAACACAUGCAUGUAUACAUCAUUGUCUUUCUUAAUUUAGAGGUAUAGUUUGUUAAAUGAUCAGUCACAGUGGU
rnacentral:lncRNA from 1 species